AAGUCGUAACAAGGUUUCCGUAGGUGAACCUGCGGAAGGAUCAUUAUCACGUUUUACACGUUCAACAACCGCGGACUGUUUCUCCCUGGUGCACACUUGCGACCUCGGUUGCGAGUGCCAAAUGAAGCGCUUUGCGUGAUUUCGGGCUUCAUCUGCAUCGGGCGUUUUCACGUAAAUCCGUGCACAACCCCUUUAACAAUGACUGUUAUUUGUUUGAACUGACUAGUUCUGUCUUUGCUGUAAUGGCAAAGCGAACAAUUAUUUAAAUUACGUACAACUCUUAGCAACGGAUACCUUGGCUCUC
rnacentral:misc_RNA from 1 species